GUAUGACGUCUCACCGCAGUGGUGGGGGUGUGGAAAGUUUUUCGGCUGGGGAUGGGCUCGCGGCCUAUCAGCUUGUUGUGGGGUGAUGGCCUACCAAGGCGACGACGGGUAGCCGGCCUGAGAGGGCGACCGGCCACACUGGGACUGAGACACGGCCCAGACUCCUACGGGAGGCAGCAGUGGGGAAUAUUGCGCAAUGGGCGAAAGCCUGACGCAGCAACGCCGCGUGAGGGAUGAAGGCCUUCGGGUUGUAAACCUCUUUCAGCAGGGAAGAAGCGAAAAGUGACGGUACCUGCAGAAGAAGCACCGGCUAACUACGUGCCAGCAGCCGCGGUAAUACGUAGGGUGCAAGCGUUGUCCGGAAUUAUUGGGCGUAAAGAGCUCGUAGGCGGUUUGUCGCGUCUGCUGUGAAAACCUGGGGCUUAACUCCGGGCCUGCAGUGGGUACGGGCAGACUAGAGUGCGGUAGGGGAGACUGGAAUUCCUGGUGUAGCGGUGAAAUGCGCAGAUAUCAGGAGGAACACCGAUGGC
rnacentral:rRNA from 1 species